rnacentral:rRNA from 1 species
AACGAACGCUGGCGGCAUGCCUAACACAUGCAAGUCGAACGAGACCUUCGGGUCUAGUGGCGCACGGGUGCGUAACGCGUGGGAACCUGCCCUUAGGUUCGGAAUAACUCCCCGAAAGGGGUGCUAAUACCGGAUAAUGUCUUCGGACCAAAGAUUUAUCGCCUUUGGAUGGGCCCGCGUUGGAUUAGCUAGUUGGUAGGGUAAAAGCCUACCAAGGCGACGAUCCAUAGCUGGUCUGAGAGGAUGAUCAGCCACACUGGGACUGAGACACGGCCCAGACUCCUCCGGGAGGCAGCAGUGGGGAAUAUUGGACAAUGGGCGAAAGCCUGAUCCAGCAAGGCCGCGUGAGUGAUGAAGGCCUUAGGGUUGUAAAGCUCUUUUCCCCGGAUGAUAAUGACAGUACCGGGAGAAUAAGCUCCGGCUAACUCCGUG